CGUAUACGUAUACGCGUGUGUGCGCGUGUGUGUGCGCGUGUGUGUGCGUGUGUGUGCGCGUGUGCGCGUGUGUGUGCGUAUGUGCGCGUGUGUGUGCGCGUGUGCGCGUGUGUGUGCGCGUGUGUGCGCGCGCGCAUAUAUGUCAUAUGUUUACCAAGUGCUAUAGUGGCAAUGUACACGCGACGAGAACGGCAAAAGAAAACGCACGCGUACAUUCGUGUCCGUACGGAAAAGUUCGGGAAACUGUGUGUACAUUGUGCGAGCGUUCAAUUUUUAUUGCUUUCCGAUUUUCCAAUAUCGCGGCCAUUGACGUGACGUGGAAAAACAAUACCGUGCGCGCAGUGACGAUUUAAUUUAGGCGCCUGGUUAUGUUGCGGCCGCGGGCGCGACGCGCGGCACCGUUCCGCGACGAUUAU